rnacentral:rRNA from 1 species
GACGUAGGGCGCGAGCGUUGUCCGGAUUUAUUGGGCGUAAAGAGCUCGUAGGCGGCUUGUUGCGUCGACUGUGAAAACCCGCGGCUUAACCGCGGGCCUGCAGUUGAUACGGGCAGGCUAGAGUUCGGUAGGGGAGACUGGAAUUCCUGGUGUAGCGGUGAAAUGCGCAGAUAUCAGGAAGAACACCCGUGGCGAAGGCGGCUCUCUGGGACGGUACUGACGCUGAGACGCGAAAGCGUGGGGAGCGAACAGG